GGGUCGCUAGCUCAAUUGGCAGAGCAACUGACUCUUAAUCAGUAGGUUCGGGGUUCGAUUCCCCGGCGACCCACCA
rnacentral:tRNA from 1 species